rnacentral:SRP_RNA from 1 species
GCCAAGCGUGGUGGCGCAUGCCUGUAAUCCCAGCUACUCAGGAGGCUGAGGCAGGAGAAUCGCUUGAACCCAGGAGGCAGAGGUUGCAGUGAGCCGAGAUCGUGCCAUUGCACUCCAGCCUGGGUGACAGAGCGAGAUUCUGUCUCAA